GGGACUGAAAGGAUUUCUACAUAUUGAUAUCUUAUUUGUUUUUUAUUUAACUAAUCAAACUUAUUAAUUUUUUAUAUAUUAAAGCUAGUUAUUCAUAUAGCUGUAUUAAAAAUUAAUAAAAAGAUAGUAAUUUAAUUGCAAAACAUAAUAUUAUAUCUUUUUCUAAAAAUUUAUUAUUAGUAUAAAUUAGUGAGAUCUUAAAUUCUAUUUUCUUGUUUUAAUUUAUUGAUUUAUUCAGAGAAUGCUCUAAUUGCAAAUUUGAAUUUUUUAUCCAAUUAGAAAAGUUUAAAUUAUUUGAAUUUAAAAGUUUAUUGAUUAUGAUUUAGUUGAAAAAUUAUUGAUUAAAUAUUUUAUCAAUAUGGACGUGGGUUCAAAUCCCACCAGUUCCA
rnacentral:tmRNA from 1 species